UCUCCGUUGGUGAACCAGCGGAGGGAUCAUUACCGAGUUAUUCAACUCAUCAACCCUGUGAACAUACCUAAACGUUGCUUCGGCGGGAAUAGACGGCCCCGUGAAACGGGCCGCCCCCGCCAGAGGACCCUUAACUCUGUUUCUAUAAUGUUUCUUCUGAGUAAAACAAGCAAAUAAAUUAAAACUUUCAACAACGGAUCUCUUGGCUCUGGCAUCGAUGAAGAACGCAGCGAAAUGCGAUAAGUAAUGUGAAUUGCAGAAUUCAGUGAAUCAUCGAAUCUUUGAACGCACAUUGCGCCCGCCAGUAUUCUGGCGGGCAUGCCUGUUCGAGCGUCAUUACAACCCUCAGGCCCCCGGGCCUGGCGUUGGGGAUCGGCGGAGCCCCCCGUGGGCACACGCCGUCCCCCAAAUACAGUGGCGGUCCCGCCGCAGCUUCCAUCGCGUAGUAGCUAACACCUCGCGACUGGAGAGCGGCGCGGCCACGCCGUAAAACACCCAACUCUUCUGAAGUUGACCUCGAAUCAGGUAGGAAUACCCGCUGAACUUAA
rnacentral:rRNA from 1 species